rfam:Pichia membranifaciens NRRL Y-2026 unplaced genomic scaffold PICMEscaffold_3, whole genome shotgun sequence.
GGGCGUGUGGCGUAGUUGGUAGCGCGCUCGCCUUGCAAGCGAGAGGUCAUCGGUUCGACUCCGGUCUCGUCCA